AAAAGUAAAUUUUGGUACAUAAAUUGAAACAUGGUAUACUUAAAUGUAAUAAAUACUAACCUUAAACAUAAGUGGUUAUAAGGUUUGUUAUAUGGGAUGUAUAUGUAAAAAUCCCAAAAAUUAAUGGAGGCAGCCCAAAGAUAGUUUUCAGUAAAUUGGGCUUCCAUAUUCGUGUGAGUUGAUUAAAGAUAUUCAAGCACAGACCUGGAACAUGCUGUUGGAAGGCCCCAAAGAUAUGGUCUCAUUUUGAUUAUACUACUAGGCCCAUUAUUGAGGGGGUCAGGCCCAAGGCAUGCGGCUAUAAGGACUGCAGCCAUGGAGUGGAUUGUUUCCAAUUGGGCUUGGCAUUUGGGCCCGAUGACACAGAAGAAAAGUUCAAUUGCUGACCACUCAAAUACUAUAAUUCAAAUAAACUAAGUGGACGACUUGAUUCAAUAGGCAAUGCAAUUCGAAGUUAUUCUAGUUUGAACGCUUACACAGGCAUGUGACUAAGAUGCAGUCAUGUCGAAUGUGAAUAUUGAAUAUCUCAAACUCAUAUUCAUACACUCUAUGACAUGAGAUUCAAGCAAAACUAGAAUUAUAUACACAGCCAUCAUUAACCUCCGAUUUCAGAUUAUCACCUACUAUCGUUGUUACUGAGCUUUAACUGAUUAUUCUAGAAAUUCUAAACAAUUUAUUUAAGUAUAAGACGGAAAUUUAUCUCGUUACUAGCCACUUCCUAGACAGAUGCAUGAGGUAGCAGACAGGAAAUUAACUACAACUAGUUAUAAAAUUAUUCUGUCAAACGACUGUAAAAUCAACUAUGACUAAUGUUCAACUCAUGAAGCUCACACAAACUCGAGAAAUAGCAGUUAAUACGAUCCAAUUAGUACAUAAAUAAGCAAGGUUCUGGAAGUAAACUAAAUCAAAUUUAUGCCUCCAUUCUUCACACAGAUUCAUUUCUUCACAUUUUCAGCUUACAAUCAUCAGAGAUACAAUUGUGUACCUGGAAUUGAAAUAGAUGAUAAAAUACAGGAGUUAGCUAAAGCAGUAAUGAAUAACAGCCCAAAAUCAUAGAAGUGGAUCAAUUUCAACUCCAAUCUACCACAACAAACCAAGAAUAAUUUGUAGAACAAUAAACAGCGACAAGCUACUGAAAAUAGAUCAAUCUAUGACCAAGCAGAGUCGAAUUCAACCCGGGACUGCUUCCUACCAGGAAAUACCCAAACAGAGCUCGACUAAUACCCGAAAACACUUGCAAUUGAAUCUCACAAGAUUAGAAACUAGAAUUAAUAGCUAACUUGCAACAAAUAUGAAGGAAUUAUUGAUGGAAUAGUUUUUUUUUAUUUUUUAUUUUCUGUUGCUUCAUUUUUUGAUUUUCUGGAAAGUUUUUUAUCUAACAGAGAUUUCAAAAUCUAGAUCUAGUUUUUGAAUAUGAAACAAUAGAAUAAUUUGGGGGGAAAUUUGGAGGAUCAAACUUAUUCACUAAGGCACUAGUCAUGCCUUUUUAUAGGCAAAAUGAGGGCAGCCCUCAGAUUUAAAGUUUUACACUCUUAAUCCAUCUUUACUAUUCAAUUUUACGCAAACAACCCCUUAUAUACUGACUUGUUUCUCAAGUUAAUAUCUUAUAUUUACUGAAAUCUAAACUAAAGCCCUAUUCUAGAAGGAUCUAGGGAAUUCUAGUUUGUGUUUCCAUUUAUGGAAUACCUAUACUACCCUUACUUUAUCCUAAAAUUUACUAGACUAAACUAACCCUUUUACCCUAGUUGAAGUUUAACUACAGUUAUUCAAAGAGCAUAAUGCAGCCAUGUCCAAUGAACUAACAAAGCUGGAAAACCAUUCUAAUUUCAUUAACGGAAAAAAAUUCAAAGAGCAAUCUAAUAUAAUUAACUAACUUAUAAAACUAAAACUUAUCAAAACAAAUUUCAAAUAUCACAAACUAGGAUGAAAAGAACAAUUAAACCAAAUAAGAACCAAUUGAAUCGUAAAGCAAAAAUUAAAACCAGCAGAAUCAACAUGAAAACAGAGAUCAGGUGAAAUUUAAACUAAUCAGAAAAAACCAUGAAGAACGUUUACUAUUUUUUAAUCAUUCUCAAAGUCUAAUUAAACCACAAUCCUAAGUUUAUAGUAAUAUAAUCCAACAUGAUAGACUCAAUAUUCAUGCCUGAACUACAAGCUUAUCACAAACAAAUUACAUUCAUUAAUUCGGACUAAAAUACCAAGGAGAAGAACGGAGAGUCGACAUACUGAAAAUAGAAAAAAUAGAGAAGCCAAUAAUGAACAAAGAGAAAGAAAACAUAAACAAAAGAAAAGAGAAGAAC
rnacentral:lncRNA from 1 species